AGACUACUCCAUAAACUGAGCUAAGCAGCGUGGGGCUUGAGAGGCUGAGUCCGACUUUGAAAGAAGUUCUAAUGUGGGGAAAACGCAAUCAGCAUUGCAUGCUACAGAGAAAUCGUGCAUGACAGGAAGAGUUAAUCGAUUUGGUAGCCUUCGUCGUGGUCUUAUUUUAAGAAAUUGCCACAGCCAGCCCAGCCUUCAGCAGCCCCCACCCUGAUCCAUCAGCAGCAUCAAUGUGCAGGCAGGACCCUCCACCAGCAAAAAGACUGUGACUCACUAAAGCCUCAGAUGAUUGUUCAACCUCUUUAGCAAGAAAAUAUUUUUUAAAAUUAAGCUAAACCACGUUGAAAGAACAAAUGUGAGGCGCAUCAGGCUGCGUUAAAAGUGCCCUGGAUUUACCGACUCUGUUGGAAAAAUGUUUCUCAACGACGCGAAGUCAUCAGGCAAAAUCCUUAGCUCUCCUUUUGCAAAGUAAACAAUCUCCCCACGUAAAUCACACUCACAGCAUAGGGAUUAUGAAGUAUAAAUAGAAUUUCAUGGUGUUUGCAGUGGCUCUGAAAUACCGGUGUACAAAAGUAGGCUGGCACGCAGUGCCCUUCCGUUUAGCAGUUGGAAGUGAGACCAGCAGGGGUGGUAGGUAUUGGAAUCAGGUCUGGACAGCAGAGCUUGUACAGCAGGCGUCUUGUGUUUAGGAUCUGAAACGCAGUGAGCCGAGCCACGCGCCCUGCCCAGGGUGACGCUCACCCUCUGCCGUCACAGGUCUUGUCGCCAGAGAGGGCGCCGCAGCUGCUCACAGUCACCUUCAGGAUGAAGGCGACACUGGCGCGGUUUCACGCGAAGGGCAGGCUGUUGGCUUGGCCCUGGGAAGUGCAGGCCUGGUGUGGCAGCUCCAAUGCCUGGCCAGAAAUGCAACUGCGUUUUGCAUGAAAAGGAUUUUUAUCAAAGCGCAUUCAUGGAACAGUGUUACUCUGAUGGUUGUUUGGCUUCUGAUUUCAGCCUUUUUCAUUCACUUCAAAGACGUUUUUUAAAAAUGUGCCUGGACUUUGUACCCAGAGGCAGACAAGCCGCAGAGACCAGCUCUGCAAGAGGCACCCGCGUGGUGCCAGGCACGUGGAGGUGCUCGGUCCUGUAGCCGUUCCUCUGUGGGAGACGAGGGCAGCUGUGCCGUGGUCUCUAGACUCGGUGCCAGGCUGACCUUCCAUUUCAGACAAGUGUCAGUUUCACCCCUGACGUGUCGUGGGUGGAGGUGACAUCCACGCGCUUGCUGGACUCCACGAGCGCGUCUCUCCGAAGCGUGGGCCCGGCCCCCGCCUUGGUCCAGACGCCCCCCGUUCUUGUUCCCUUCCAUCCUUGCUCGCCGUCGCCCGGUCUGGCCUCUGCCCCGGGCCUGCCCUGGCGGGGCUGCUGGCCCAGGCCUUCCUUCCUCGGUACCCGCGUAGCAGUUGGCCCGUGGGCAGACCCUUCAACUUAGAGGUCCGUCUCGGUUUCCGUGGCAGCGCAGGCCGGUUUCUCCCCUCCUCCGAAGGUCCUUCCUCCUCCGUGCGACGCGGCCGUGUCUGUCCUCAGCUUCCUCCUGGGUCCGCGCGGUGCUCUGGGCGGCCGCACCCACCUCUAGACGGCAGCCGCCAGGCACGUUCCUGCCGCCCGCGCCCAGGCGGCUUCUCUGGCGGCAAGGGCUCGAGGUCCUCUCCACACCCAGACCCGUGUUCACAUCCACACCCGGCUGACGUGCAGACGCCUCAAGCUCACGCGUUCACGACGGCGCUCACGGCCCCACCGGGCCCACGCGCUCUCCCCUCGGCGUCCUGGGCCCUCGUCUGCCGCCUCUUCCUCUGGCCCAGAGCUCCCUGCGUACAGUUCCAUUAAAAGGCUUGUCUUUGUUCUCGG
rnacentral:lncRNA from 1 species